CGAUGGCGGGGGCGGUCUCGUUCGAAAUGGCGGCGGCGCCGAGGGGCUCUCGGUUCCCUCGCGGGGGGAGAGACCCAAACUGCUGUGCUGGGACAGGGGCUGCGUCGAGGGAAAUACCAAUAGAGGCUACUGGGUUGUGUAACAGCCUCCAACAACUGAUAUGCAUGUGGUGAGGUCCCAGUUGAUCUAUAAGGGAAUAAACCUCUUGCGGAGCUAAAAGACUCAAGCAUGGCUAUAUUGCAUUUUCUUAUCUUGAGCCAGUUCCAAAGUGUCUUCAAAGUUGAGCAAGAACUGACAAAACACACUGAAAGAAUAUGGGCAGAGAUGGCUGAUGACUGACUGUUUCUCUCUGUGGCAUUUAUUUAAACAGAGGACAAAUACAAUUUUUGCAGAAGCAAUGCAGAUACUGAUCUCACAGCUCCAGCAAUAUGACCCAGCAUUGUACUGACCUUGAAGGAAAGAGAUCUGUCCUGAAGAAUUUUGGUCAAAGGAGUUUAUGGUUAUGAAUUGCAUUUCAGCAAAACCAUUAUUCAUUACAAUUUCUUGUUUUUAACUAAAUCUGCACAAAUAAUAUUAAAAAAAAAAUCCACUUCCAAAGCUGCCAUUAAACUCCCGAGAAUUCUGCUCUUCCAUGAUUUCAACUGAAGUCUGCUCAUACUGCCAGAAAGGAACAGUUACUGAAUUUCCAUGCUGAGUUUGCUGCUGCCAACAUGUUUGGUCAUGUAAACAAGUUCACUGAAAAGUCGCUCAUGCUAAAAAGAAAAACAGAUUCACAACGAGGGAUCUGCAGGCCAAAAAUGCUGGGUUUGGUCAGAUGGCCUAAAAAAUAGUAAAAAACAAAAAAUCCUGUCUGAGAGUCAUUCACUGGAGAUAUGCACUGUUCCUCUUUCUUCUGUCUAUAUAGAUAUUCCAGGAGAAUCAUCUGACCACCUGAGAGAGUGACAGCUCCAUCCUCACAAGAGGAGGUUGCAAUGACACUCUUACUUUUCUUUUUAAUUUCCGCUAAUUAACUCUAUGAUGCUUAUGUGAAGCAAGUCAGUAAUACUGAAGAAUGGUUUUAGAGAGAUUUAGUUAUUGUCCCUUCUGAGAUUCCCAGUUUCCAGGCUGUACCUAUCUUGCUUUAGACUGUGAAGGAUGUGCAGCAGGGAAUAUCUGUAUUCAGACUUUCCUGAAGCAUAACCUUCUUUUACUAAAGAAACACUGAAAGAACACAGUUCACAUUAGGCCUUUUCCCAAAUUCAAAGGAUCCCAAGACCAGAACUCCCCCUUUCCUACAGAAGUAUUAAUAUCUUCUUUUUUAUAUCACUUAAAUUCAUUCUGUUCUUAAAAGCUUUAUUAUUUUUUAUUCUCUAGAGCACUUCAAUCACCUAGUGUUUAGUUACUUCAUAAUAUUUUAUUAUUUGAAGAUUUUGUACACAAACCAUUGAUUUGUCCCUCAACCGUAAUCUUGUGUGGUUUUAUUUUCAGCACUGUUCUGCGUAUUCUUUGCUUAUCCUUGAAACCUACAAUUUAGGUUUUGCAAAUAAAUAAUGGAAAGGAUUGUGUUGGGCACUUGUGAGUGACUGGUACCUAAAAAUGUUACACAGUCAGUCCCAUUU